rnacentral:lncRNA from 13 species
CUCUGAGGACUAUUUUGAAAGAUUGCUGAUGGUUUAUGGUUCUCCCACAUGCUAUCCCACAGUGCUGUGUGUUCAAUUCCCUGUCACACACACACACACACACACAGAGCUGUGUGUUAAAUUCACCGUCAGUGGCGUUUUAGUACGGUUAUGCUAAUUGGGCUGAGGGUUAGCGUAGUGGUGGUGUGGUGGUGUGAGGGCUGCAGAUUACGACAAAGCGAGCCACUGCCAACACACUAAACCAUAAUAAGGACCUCACCCUGGAUCUGACUGGAGGAGGAGAGCACAGUCAGAGCAAGGCAGUGUGUGGGUGGAUGGGAGAAGAGAGGCAGGAUUAUAGAAACAUUAAUGUUCUUUCCUGUGGCAACCGAAAGAGCAACACAAGAACAGAGUUAUCAGUAGCUGGGCAGCAGAUCCAGACAGGAGGAGAGGAGAGGAUGCUCCUUCCGUUUAAACGAUGAAAGAUGACCCAUAGCCUUAGGCUGGGGUGUCUGUGCCACACUCCCGCUCCAAAUCCGCUGCUCAGGACCCAGGACGAGCUCCCACAGCGACCCUGCUUUAAAGAUGGUAAAUGAUACAGGCACACCAAGGGCACCCCCUUGAUAACACUCAUACCCAAGUAUCAGCUGAGGAAUAAUACUUUCUAAUCUUUCAAUAAAUGUGAUGUUUUGUGACAUGGAUUUCCAAUAGCCUACAUUCAGAGUUAUAGAAGCCAUCUCGCUUACAGUACAUUGGAUUUAUUUUAAGAAACGCUGAAACACAGACGGUUGCUUUGCAGAGGUUUUUUGAGAAGGAAAGAGAUGUAUGCUCCACACCACUCUUUCACUUAAAUGAGAAUGUGUUCUCAGUCAACUUACCUGGUAAAGCAAGGAUUAAAUAAAUAAAAGCACCUCCUCCCUUCUCCAGACCCUCUGGAGACCUUCUCCCAUUCCUUACUUCCCUCAUCAACUCAUCCCUAAUAUUUGGCUGCGUCCCCUCUGACUUCAAAAUGGCCCGAGUCAAGAAACCAACACUUGAGCCCUCUGAUGUCAAAAACUACUGACUGGUAUCCCUUUUUUCUUCUUUCCAAAACACUUCAGCGUGCUGUCUCUGACCAAAUCUCUCGCUCUCGCUCUUAGGGUCUUCUUGACC